rnacentral:rRNA from 2 species
UGCAGUCGAGCGAACAGAAGGGAGCUUGCUCCCGGAUGUUAGCGGCGGACGGGUGAGUAACACGUGGGUAACCUGCCUGUAAGACUGGGAUAACUCCGGGAAACCGGAGCUAAUACCGGAUAGUUCCUUGAACCGCAKGGUUCAAGGAUGAAAGACGGUUUCGGCUGUCACUUACAGAUGGACCCGCGGCGCAUUAGCUAGUUGGUGGGGUAAUGGCUCACCAAGGCGACGAUGCGUAGCCRACCUGAGAGGGUGAUCGGCCACACUGGGACUGAGACACGGCCCAGACUCCUACGGGAGGCAGCAGUAGGGAAUCUUCCGCAAUGGACGAAAGUCUGACGGAGCAACGCCGCGUGAGUGAUGAAGGUUUUCGGAUCGUAAAGCUCUGUUGUUAGGGAAGAACAAGUGCGAGAGUAACUGCUCGCACCUUGACGGUACCUAACCAGAAAGCCACGGCUAACUACGUGCCAGCAGCCGCGGUAAUACGUAGGUGGCAAGCGUUGUCCGGAAUUAUUGGGCGUAAAGGGCUCGCAGGCGGUUUCUUAAGUCUGAUGUGAAAGCCCCCGGCUCAACCGGGGAGGGUCAUUGGAAACUGGGAAACUUGAGUGCAGAAGAGGAGAGUGGAAUUCCACGUGUAGCGGUGAAAUGCGUAGAGAUGUGGAGGAACACCAGUGGCGAAGGCGACUCUCUGGUCUGUAACUGACGCUGAGGAGCGAAAGCGUGGGGAGCGAACAGGAUUAGAUACCCUGGUAGUCCACGCCGUAAACGAUGAGUGCUAAGUGUUAGGGGGUUUCCGCCCCUUAGUGCUGCAGCUAACGCAUUAAGCACUCCGCCUGGGGAGUACGGUCGCAAGACUGAAACUCAAAGGAAUUGACGGGGGCCCGCACAAGCGGUGGAGCAUGUGGUUUAAUUCGAAGCAACGCGAAGAACCUUACCAGGUCUUGACAUCCUCUGACAACCCUAGAGAUAGGGCUUUCCCUUCGGGGACAGAGUGACAGGUGGUGCAUGGUUGUCGUCACCUCGUGUCG